rnacentral:miRNA from 1 species
UGACUAGAUCUACCACAGCAA